rnacentral:rRNA from 1 species
CGCUGGCGGCGUGCUUAACACAUGCAAGUCGAACGAUGACUUUUGUGCUUGCACAGAAUGAUUAGUGGCGAACGGGUGAGUAACACGUGAGUAACCUGCCCCUGACUCUGGGAUAAGCCUGGGAAACUGGGUCUAAUACUGGAUAUGCACCGUAGACCGCAUGGUUUUUGGUGGAAAGAAUUUUGGUCAGGGAUGGACUCGCGGCCUAUCAGCUUGUUGGUGAGGUAAUGGCUCACCAAGGCGACGACGGGUAGCCGGCCUGAGAGGGUGACCGGCCACACUGGGACUGAGACACGGCCCAGACUCCUACGGGAGGCAGCAGUGGGGAAUAUUGCACAAUGGGCGAAAGCCUGAUGCAGCGACGCCGCGUGAGGGAUGACGGCCUUCGGGUUGUAAACCUCUUUCAGUAGGGAAGAAGCGAAAGUGACGGUACCUGCAGAAGAAGCGCCGGCUAACUACGUGCCAGCAGCCGCGGUAAUACGUAGGGCGCAAGCGUUAUCCGGAAUUAUUGGGCGUAAAGAGCUCGUAGGCGGUUUGUCGCGUCUGCCGUGAAAGUCCGAGGCUCAACUUCGGAUCUGCGGUGGGUACGGGCAGACUAGAGUGAUGUAGGGGAGACUGGAAUUCCUGGUGUAGCGGUGAAAUGCGCAGAUAUCAGGAGGAACACCGAUGGCGAAGGCAGGUCUCUGGGCAUCUACUGACGCUGAGGAGCGAAAGCAUGGGGAGCGAACAGGAUUAGAUACCCUGGUAGUCCAUGCCGUAAACGUUGGGCACUAGGUGUGGGGGACAUUCCACGUUUUCCGCGCCGUAGCUAACGCAUUAAGUGCCCCGCCUGGGGAGUACGGCCGCAAGGCUAAAACUCAAAGGAAUUGACGGGGGCCCGCACAAGCGGCGGAGCAUGCGGAUUAAUUCGAUGCAACGCGAAGAACCUUACCAAGGCUUGACAUGUGCUAGAUCGCCAUAGAAAUAUGGUUUCCCCUUUGGGGCUGGUUCACAGGUGGUGCAUGGUUGUCGUCAGCUCGUGUCGUGAGAUGUUGGGUUAAGUCCCGCAACGAGCGCAACCCUCGUUC